GUUUCAGAACAAACAAAAUACAGCGAGGACUCUAAUAAUGCAUCAUUUGAAAUCAAUGUUUUAAAGGAAAGAAAAAAUAAUAAUAACUAUGAGAAUGAGGGAAUACUGAAUAUAUGAUGUAGGGCUGAGAUUUGUUUACUCUUUUGCUGACUAGAAAAGAAAAUAAAACGAAUACAACUUGUUUGACCAAAAAAAAAAAGACGAAUACAACUUCUCUCAAAACAAGUUUUUAUUAUUUUUUGUUUUUAUGUGGGAAGAGUAAAGAAUACGCUUGAGAAACUAAUAUAUAAAUAUCAACCAAACUCUUGAGAAAUAUUUCAGUUUUCAUCUUCUUUCUCUCCCUCGCAGUUUUUCCUCUCUUAAGGUAUGAUAAAACUCGUCUACACGAAACCUAUUCGUCUCUCGCUUUGGUCCUUCUACUACUUCCGGGAAGAUUAUUUUAUUAAAAAUCUUACAAAACCCUAAUCCGAUUCGUCAGUAUAUUAAUUAGUCUGUUUAACUUCUAGGUCGAUAGAUGAUGUUUUAUUUGACUUACUUCGUUACUAGUUUUGACAUAAACCCUAUUUCAUUGACUCUCCUCUGUGUUCGUUUUUCUCUAUAGGUGCUAAAACGUUUCCAUCGAACAACAUGGAAUGUAACAAGGAUGAAGCUAAAAGGGCAAUGGAUAUUGCUGAGAAGAAACUCUCCGAGAAAGAUUACGUUGGCGCCAAGAAAUUUCUCACCAAGGCUCAAAACCUAUACCCUCACCUUGAUGGUUUGAAUCAAGUGUCUACGAUGAUCCAUGUUUACGUCUCAGCAGCAAACAAUAUCAACGGAGGAAAAGACUCUGACCUGUAUGGUGUUCUUGGUGUUGAUCCAUUGGCUGAUGACGAAGCUCUGAAGAAACAGUACAAGAAGCUGGCUCUUUUGCUUCAUCCUGAUAAGAACAAGUGUAAAGGUGCAGAAGGUGCGUUUAAGCAUGUUUUGAAUGCUUGGGCGCUGUUGUCUGACAAGGCUAAGAGAAGUGCUUAUGAUCGGAGGAGGAAGUUAAGUACCGGAAUGCAAAAACCACCUGCACCAAGCCAACAGAACAAGCCUCAAGGUUCUUCUAACGUUUAUCAAAAUGUGUAUACAAGUGCUAACACUAGAAGUAACCAGCCUGGAAGUGGACCGCAGAGACCACCACCGUAUGUACCCAAGACAGCUUCUGCAAGUGGACCGCAAAGACCAACGUAUGCACCCAAGCCAGCUUCUUCUAGUGGUAAUCCAAAUGCUAGUAGAAACGGUGUGCCUCCAAAUGGUAACACUAGAAGUAAUCAUCCUCCAAGUGGGCCGCAGAAUCCGCACAAACCAGCUUCUUCUAACGUGAAUCAAAAUGCUAGAUAUGGUAUGGAUCCAAAUGCUAAGGCUACAAGUAAUAAGCCUGCUCCUGCUCCUGCACGUACUUAUGCUCCUGGUCCUUCUCCUGCUCCUGGUCCUGGUCCUGGUCCUGCUCCUACGCCUGCGAAUUCAUCAAAACAGAUGUUUUGGACAAUGUGCAAUGGGUGCAAGAGACAAAGCGAGUGUCAGAGGGAUCUUUAUCAAAACAAGACCAUGCGUUGUCAAAACUGUGGACAGAGUUACAUUGCAACCGAGCAGAAUCCAUGGGACCAUUAUGUGAGGCAAUUGAACAGGGCAUUAUAUAUGAUUGGACUACGACAAUGGAGUAGUAGUAGUAGUAGUGCUCAUCAAAAUCAAGCAGCGAACAAAAACACAAACGGAGCUUCUGGUGCAACCAAGAAAAAUCAUCCAUGGGAAAGUCAUGUGAGUCAAAUCAACCGCACACUGUCUCUUGUUGUGCUGCGACAAGCACAUUGGAAUGCACAAAAUCAAGCAGCAAAGACCAACAACGGAGGUGGUCCAGUUCCAGACUCCAAGUUUACUUUGCAGCAAGUAUUCUCGACAUUUUCUUCAAUUCUACAACUACAACAACAAUGGAGUGCAGCAGAAAAGAACAAUGGGAGGAAAGGUGCACAUGCAAGUUUUGUGUCUCCGGGCGUCAACCUCUCAUCAUCAUCUCCUCAACAACAACAACAAUGUGGUGGUGGUACUUAUUAUCCUUCAUCUUCUGGUAGUGUCCACCACAAGUCUUCAGUGUCAAUACCUUCUAGUAGCGGAAAUGCCGCAAGUCAAGCAAAAGAAAGAUCUAAAAGAGGACUUGAGGAGGAUUCACAAGAAACGAUUGCUGCUGCUAUUGAGAGUGUUUCUAAGAAGCUGAGGAAAGAUCAUGUGGUUUAACAAGUAAAGAGUUAAUUACCAAGUUCCUACUUUUAUCCUUUAAAAGGAUUAUUUAUGAUAAUGUUAUGAAUCUUUUUUCAUCUCUAUGCUAAAAUAUUUUAGAUAAGUUAUCUACUUUCAUGGUCAAUGAGUUUUUUUUUAAUCCAAAUUACAUUUGUUCCUCUUUGUCACAUAUAUAUAGAUAUUUCUGAGCUCAUUUUGCGCCUAGUACAGUAUGUUCUUAUCUACUGGGGAAAAUUGUUUCUCUAUUCUGUUAAUAGCUGCUGAUCACCACUGCUUGAAGGAUAAGAAACCUGGUCUGGAACUUUAUUGUUGUCUAUAUACGGUCUGAAACAUCUUAAGAGUUUAUAUAUAUAGCAGCUCUGAGUCCAUUACUCCUUCAGCCUAUGUGGUCAGUUGCUUAAGAGAAGGGAUGUGUUUACUAGAUAGUUUUAGAUAUGAUCAAUCGGAGCCAGUCACCAGGCUUAGUAAAAGCAGAGCUGAUACUUAUUCUCCAGAAGAUGGUUUGAGCCUGAUUCUUCAUCAGAAAAGAUAAGGUAAGGGAGUACUAGCUAGAACAUCAUGUUUGUUUCUUUUUUAAGUAUAUUAACGCUAAUUGCAUUUCUAUCUCCAUGUCACUGUCGUCUGUUCUCUGAUCUGUGUGGCCUUUUAAUGAUUUUCUGUCUUCCAAGAUGAAAGGAUAUGUGGAAUCAAAACGUAGAACAUCAUCAUCCUACAUAAGAUCAGAAGUUUUUCAAAAAAGGUUCAGUCUUCUAUGUUGGAUCAAUCAAGUUGCAAACUACGGCUAUAUAUGUGUGUUUGUGAAAUAAUAUAUGAAACAAAACCAAGCCAAACAAGCAUCAACGUUAGUCUACUUGGUACGUCUUGAUUUAUUGGACUCACAUUUAGUGAAAGACAUAUGUGGGUAUAAGUUAUCAAAUGUUACUUUUAAGACAUGCAUUUGAUCAACCAAAAAAUUGACAUGAUUUUGAUUAACUCUAAUUACAUGUUACAUCAAAUUUGUAUGUAUAUAUAUAUAUAUAUGUGUAUAAAUUUGAAAGCCUUUGUAUAAGUAGAUAGUACGAGCAUAUUUUCUGCUAGAGUAUUAUGUCGUUGCUCAAAAGAUAUUUCUCAUAUAUAGUUCAUGUUGGGAAAUUGUCCAAAGUUUUAAUAGUAGCUUGUCAUAACAUGUUUCAUGAUUAAAAAAAGCACAUAACAGAAAGAAUAUUAAGCUUUGAUGAUCGUAAGAUUUACCCUUAGAGCUCUACUUUCUCUUGCAGGGUUGCAAGAGGAACGGUAGCUUUAAAAUCAAAAGAUGCGAAGCAACAACAAAAUAACUUAUUGGGCCGGGCUUGAAUACAUCCAGAUAAGGGUGUGACAAAAUAACUCGCGAGAAACAAAGAGAGAGGGAAAAUAGCGCGGGAAAGAGAGAGAGGGAAAAAUAGCUAAUUAGUUUCACUUUCCAUCCCCCAACUCUUAAAACGUUUGACGUUUACCCCAAUUAUUUUUACGAAAUCAGAAUUAGUCUCCUAAACGUUUCAUUAUAAUCGAGAGGCUCUUCGUUCAUCUUCUUCUCUUUCCGUUUCUCGCUUCUCUUUAGAAAAAAAUCGAAUCUUGCAGCAAAAUGAAAUGACCAAAAAAUAACUAAUAGUUUCACUUAAACGUUUGACGUUUACCCCAAUUAGUUUGACGUUUCAGAAUUAAUCUCCUAAUCAGCUGUCAUUAUAAUCGAGGCGCUUCGUUGCUCUUCUUCUUUCUUCUUCCGUUUCUCGCUUCUCUGGGUUUUAUAAAAAAUCGAAUCUUGCAGCAAACUGAAAUGGUCAAAUAAAAAAGUUAAGGUCUUCCUACUUAUCGAGACAGGUGAGA